rnacentral:rRNA from 1 species
UGAAUACGAGACGCUAAGGCGUCGAAGUAGUGUAUGUCAUACUUCCAAGAAAAGCUUGCACUGUCAUAGAUAAAAAACGCCUGUACCAUAACCGACACAGGUGGGUAGGUAGAGUAUACUAAGGGGCGCGAGAUAACUCUCUCUAAGGAACUCGGCAAAAUAACUCCGUAACUUCGGGAGAAGGAGUGCCUUAUUCGUAAGGUUGCAAUAACAAGAUCCAAGCAACUGUUUAUCAAAAACACAGGUCUCCGCUAAGUCGUAAGACGAUGUAUGGGGGCUGACGCCUGCCCAGUGCCAGAAGGUUAAAGAAGUUGGUUAGCAAUUGCGAAGCUGAUAACUGAAGCCCUGGUGAACGGCGGCCGUAACUAUAACGGUCCUAAGGUAGCGAAAUUCCUUGUCGGGUAAGUUCCGACCCGCACGAAAGGCGUAAUGAUUUGGAUACUGUCUCGGAGAGGGGCUCGGUGAAAUAGACUUGUCUGUGAAGAUGCGGACUACCUGCACCAGGACAGAAAGACCCUAUGAAGCUUUACUGUAACUUGAAAUUGAAAUUGGACUUUAUUCGCGCAGUAUAGGUGGGAGGCGUUGAUUAUAAUCUUGUGGGAUUAUUGGAGCCAUCAGUGAGAUACCACUCUUGUAAUGUUAGAUUUCUAACUUUGAAUCAUUAUCUGGUCAAAGAACAGUUUCAGGCGGGCAGUUUGACUGGGGCGGUCGCCUCCUAAACGGUAACGGAGGCGUACAAAGGUUUCCUCUGAACGGUUAGAAAUCGUAUCUAGAGUGUAAAGGCAUAAGGAAGCUUGACUGUGAGACCUACAAGUCGAGCAGGGACGAAAGUCGGUCUUAGUGAUCUGACGGUACUGAGUGGAAAGGCCGUCACUCAACGGAUAAAAGUUACUCUAGGAUAACAGGCUGAUCUCCCCCAAGAGUUCACAUCGACGGGGAGGUUUGGCACCUCGAUGUCGGCUCAUCGCAUCCUGGGGCGGUAGUACGUCCCAAGGGUUGGGCUGUUCGCCCAUGAAAGCGGUACGCGAGCUGGGUUCAGAACGUCGUGAGACAGUUCGGUCCAUAUCCGGUGUAGGCGUUAGAAUAUUGAGAGGAGCCUUCUUUAGUACGAGAGGACCGAGAAGGACAUACCUCUGGUGUACCAGUUAUCGUGCCAACGGUAAACGCUGGGUAGCUAUGUAUGGAGUGGAUAACCGCUGAAAGCAUCUAAGUGGGAAGCCCACCUCAAGAUAAGUAUUCUCAUC